rnacentral:rRNA from 1 species
UACGUAGGGUGCAAGCGUUAAUCGGAAUUACUGGGCGUAAGCGUGCGCAGGCGGUUAUGUAAGACAGAUGUGAAAUCCCAGGGCUCAACCUUGGAACUGCAUUUGUGACUGCAUAGCUAGAGUACGGUAGAGGGGGAUGGAAUUCCGCGUGUAGCAGUGAAAUGCGUAGAUAUGGGGGUGGGAACACCGGUGGGCGGAAGGCGGCCACCUGGGACGGAUGACUGACGCUGGAGACGCGAAAGCCGUGGGGAGCAAAGCAGG